rnacentral:rRNA from 1 species
GACAGAGGUGCCGAGCGUUAGGCGGAAUCAUUGGGCGUAAAGCGCGCGUAGGCGGCCCGGUAAGUCCGUUGUGAAAGUUAAAGGCUCAACCUUUGAACGCCGAUGGAUACUGCCGGGCUAGAGUCCGGAAGAGGCGAGUGGAAUUCCUGGUGUAGCGGUGGAAUGCGCAGAUAUCAGGAGGAACACCAAUAGCGAAGGCAGCUCGCUGGGACGGUACUGACGCUGAGGCGCGAAAGCGUGGGGAGCGAACAGG